AGAGUGAACGCUGGCGGUAGGCCUAACACAUGCAAGUCGAACGGCAGCACAGUAGGAGCUUGCUCUUACGGGUGGCGAGUGGCGGACGGGUGAGGAAUACAUCGGAAUCUUACCUUUUGGUGGGGGAUAACGUAGGGAAACUUACGCUAAUACCGCAUACGCCCUUCGGGGGAAAGCCGGGGACCAGCAAUGGCCUGGCGCUGAUAGAUGAGCCGAUGUCGAUUAGCUAGUUGGUGAGGUAAUGGCUCACCGAAGGCGACGAUCCGUAGCUUGGUCUGAGAGGAUGAUCAGCCACGACUGGAACUGACGACACCGGUCAGACCUCCGUACGGGAGCGAGCAAGGUGGGAUUAGUGGAACAAGUGGGCCGAC
rnacentral:rRNA from 1 species